CUGAACCCCAUGUCUUUAUGAAAGCCCAAUAUGAAAGCAGGUUAUUAAUAAAAUCCUGGAAGGAGUGAGAGGGUGCAGUCGGGUGUUCUGAAGCCUGGCUUCCUUAGCAUUUCUCCCAUCCUCUUCUAGCAACAGAUGGCACUGAAGAAUCCUUGGAAUUCCCUGGAGCAGUUUUAAAACCACCAAUCUAAUCCAACCUCUUAAUUCUGCAGAUGGGAAACAUCAUGUGCAUAAAAACUAAGGAACUUGCCCAAGGCCACAACAAAACCCCUACCAAAAGUCUGACUUUUCAUCUUCUACUCUGAUGGUUUUUAGAUGUUUAUUCAACACAUAUUUACUGUGUCUAAUUAUGCCAGGCACUGUUCUAGAUGCUAGGGCUAUGGGAUGUGGGUAAACUAAGUCCCUGCUUUCAUGAAGCUUACAUUCUAAGUGGACAGAUUAUAGCAUAAACAAAUGUGUAACAUGAUAUCAGAUAGCAAUAAAGACUAUGAAAACACACGAAGCCAGGUAAAAGUGAAGGGGUCCUAUUUUAGAUAAGAUAGUCAAGGAAGGCCCUCCUGAGGAGAUAACAUUUGAGCAGAAACCUGAAUGGAGGGAAGACAUGCAGGCAUCUGGAGGGAGAAGUUUCUAAGGCAGAGGCCCUGAGACUGGAUGUGCUUAGUAUGCUCAAGGAGUAGCAAGGGGAGGGUCAGAGUGGCCAAAGCAGAAUAUGAAAAGUAAUAAAAGGUGAACGGGAGAGGUAGCCAAGUACUAUUACAUCAUAAAGGGCCUUCUGACUGCUGUAAAAAGCUUUUAACACAAAUAUGAUGGAAAGCCACCAGAGACGUACGAGUGGAGACAGGCACAAUCUGACUUAUAUUUGAAAUGGAUUGCUCUGGCACUGUGGACAGAAAACUGUGUGUAUGUGUGUUCAUCUGUGUUGCGGAGUAGAUGAGGAGAAACAGGAUGUAGUAGCAGGGAGAUCAACUGGGAGGCUACUGAAGCCAUCCAUAGAAGAAAAGCUGGUGGUCUGGACAAGAAAUGUAUUUUCUCACAGUCCUGGAGGCUGGAGUCAGAGAUCAGGGUGCCAGCCUGGCUGGGUUCUGGUGGGGGCCCUCUUCCAGGCUUGCUCAUGACUGCCUUCUCUCACUGUGUCUCUCCCCUGUUGUUUGAGCCACAAAAUCUGUGGUAUUUUAUUAUCACAACCUGAGCUGCCUAGACAGGAUGUUAGGACUAGAUGAUCCAGGGAUCUCUUUUGGCUCCAAUAUUGCACAAUUUGAUGUAAUAUUUGAUAAUUUCUGUCUAAUUUUGUAAAAUUUCACGCUAGCAAUGGAACUAAAGAAGUCUUUGUUUUAGAAUGUCCUUCUGAGAGUUAGGAAUGUAGAUCCAGGCUCCUUGGCUGUUUAGCAUCUCAGGCUGCAUUGUGAUGAGGAAGCAGACAGAAGAACUGGUAUCAAAGCCAAGUGUUUAUCCAAAUUCUACAUUAAGAAUAUAACGUUUUCAGUGAAGGUUUUUGUAGAUGUGAAAAAAGAGUACAUGUGAAAAGUAAGAAAAAGAAAGCCAACAACUGAAAUCUUCCAGGAUAACACCAAAAAAAGUGUUCCAACCUUGGCUUGGCUACAUGGAACACAGAAGGCAUCUACUAUGGUACCAAGGCAUGAAACAGAUGAGCCAGGACUCCCCAGCCCUUCAAUCAGCAGGCGGGCUGCAGCCACACAAAGGCUCACCACCUGAGGAACAACGUCUUGGCUGCAGGGUAACUUACUGAGUGUGGAUGAGCACGUGCUGCUUGAGGUCCUGCCUCCGCAUAAACAACUUGUCACAGUAAUCACACUUAAGAUUCUUCUCUCCAGUGUGGAUAACCAUGUGGGACUCCAGGUGAGCCUUCUGGGUGAAAGACUUGUCACACAAGGUACACCUGUAGUUCUUCUGACCUGCAAUCAGCCCAAAGUAUUACACCGUGAAGAAAACAACUGCUGGCAUCCCCAAGACACACAGGCACACAUAUGCGCAUGCAGCAGAGGCAGGAAUGAAACAGAGCUGACUGGACAAGUUUCCUAUUCAGUGCAUAAGAGAAACACUAACGAAAAAAUUGGCUGGGUAUGGUAGUUCAUGCCUGUAAACUCAGCAGUUUGGGAGGCUGAGAAGGGAGGAUCACUUGAGUCCAGGAGUUCAAGACCAGCCUGGG